UCCAGCAACUUCAUUUUUUAAAAAAAAUCUAACAACCAGAAUUCUAAAAUCAGCAGUUAAUUCACACAACCAGUGCAACUCCAAACAUUGGUGUAUUUUGUGAUUCUUAAACAAAAGAGAACAUGUUCAUGUUGGAAGAAAAAACCCUGGGUUUUUCUACAAGGAGGAAGCAGAAAGAAGAAAACAGACUAGCAUUUCAAAGCAGGGGCCCAGAAUGUUAAAUCUGAAGAAAGCACACAGCAAUUCUCAGAUACAGCUAUAUACAUACAACAAUAACAACAAUGAAAACAACAAAGAAGAUCAGUGAAGAAAUGCAUCACAUCAUUUACCCAUACAGUUCAGAAUGCACCCAUCAGAACUUAUUAGUUAUGAAUGAAUAAAUGAAUAAUUAACAUA